GAUGAAGAACGUAGCGAAAUGCGAUAAGUAAUGUGAAUUGCAGAAUUCAGUGAAUCAUCGAAUCUUUGAACGCACAUUGCGCCCCUUGGUAUUCCAUGGGGCAUGCCUGUUCGAGCGUCAUUUGUACCUUCAAGCUUUGCUUGGUGUUGGGUGUUUGUCUCGCCUUUGCGUGUAGACUCGCCUUAAAAUAAUUGGCAGCCGGCGUAUUGAUUUCGGAGCGCAGUACAUCUCGCGCUUUGCACUCAUAACGACAGCGUCCAAAAGUACAUUUUACACUCUUGACCUCGGAUCAGGUAGGGAUACCCGCUGAACUUAAGCAUAUCAAUAAGCGGGGA
rnacentral:misc_RNA from 1 species